rnacentral:lncRNA from 1 species
ACUCUGUGGAUAUCCCCUUGGACAAAACUGCUGUCAACAAGGAUGUGUUCAGAGACUCAGCAAUGAAAUGCAAGGCCAGGCGGGAGGCCAAGGUCAAGUUCGCUUUUAGAUGUAUUUUUGUUUUCGUCAUUAAAAAAUGAAAAAAUAAAAUAAAAAAAUAAAAUACAGGCAUAAUAAUAUUUCACACCUUUGUUAAAAUUGUGCAAGACAACAAACAAAAAUGCUUAAGACAGUAUUCAGUAAGCACUAUUACAUUAUAAGUACUUAUGGACAUAUAAAAGUCAUACACAUAACUAAAGAUAAUUACUCUUUUCUACUAUACUUUCAGAAUAUUCUAUACAGCUCUAAGCGAAUGCUGUCUGUUCGUAAGUUUAUAUAAACUGGGACUAGGAUGACAAGGCAUACCACCUUCUUUUUCUAAAAAAAAAAAAAAAAAUCACUAC